rnacentral:rRNA from 1 species
UACGUAGGCAGCGAGCGUUGUUCGGAGUUACUGGGCGUAAAGGGUGUGUAGGCGGUUCUCUAAGUCUGGUGUGAAAUCUCCCGGCUCAACUGGGAGGGUGCGCCGGAAACUGGAGAGCUUCGAGUGCGGGAUGGGAGAGUGGAAUUCCUGGUGUAGCGGUGAAAUGCGUAGAUAUCAGGAGGAACACCUGUGGUGUAGACGGCUCUCUGGACCGUAACUGACGCUGAGACACGAAAGCGUGGGUAGCAAACAGG